GGAGUCCAAGAAAGGAGGAGAAGGCAGACAAGUAUUUGAAAAAAUAAUGGCCAAAUUUUUUUCUAAAUUUAUCCUCACUACUGCACUUGACUAGUCUUUA
rnacentral:sRNA from 1 species